AAGAGUUUGAUCCUGGCUCAGAUUGAACGCUGGCAGCAGGCCUAACACAUGCAAGUCGAGCGGUAGAGAGAAGCUUGCUUCUCUUGAGAGCGGCGGACGGGUGAGUAAUGCCUAGGAAUCUGCCUGGUAGUGGGGGAUAACGUCCGGAAACGGACGCUAAUACCGCAUACGUCCUACGGGAGAAAGCAGGGGACCUUCGGGCCUUGCGCUAUCAGAUGAGCCUAGGUCGGAUUAGCUAGUUGGUGGGGUAAUGGCUCACCAAGGCGACGAUCCGUAACUGGUCUGAGAGGAUGAUCAGUCACACUGGAACUGAGACACGGUCCAGACUCCUACGGGAGGCAGCAGUGGGGAAUAUUGGACAAUGGGCGAAAGCCUGAUCCAGCCAUGCCGCGUGUGUGAAGAAGGUCUUCGGAUUGUAAAGCACUUUAAGUUGGGAGGAAGGGCAGUAAAUUAAUACUUUGCUGUUUUGACGUUACCGACAGAAUAAGCACCGGCUAACUCUGUGCCAGCAGCCGCGGUAAUACAGAGGGUGCAAGCGUUAAUCGGAAUUACUGGGCGUAAAGCGCGCGUAGGUGGUUCGUUAAGUUGGAUGUGAAAUCCCCGGGCUCAACCUGGGAACUGCAUUCAAAACUGACGAGCUAGAGUAUGGUAGAGGGUGGUGGAAUUUCCUGUGUAGCGGUGAAAUGCGUAGAUAUAGGAAGGAACACCAGUGGCGAAGGCGACCACCUGGACUGAUACUGACACUGAGGUGCGAAAGCGUGGGGAGCAAACAGGAUUAGAUACCCUGGUAGUCCACGCCGUAAACGAUGUCAACUAGCCGUUGGGAGCCU
rnacentral:rRNA from 1 species